rnacentral:lncRNA from 1 species
GUCCCAUAAUACUGAAAAUUUAAAACUGAAAAGAAGACAGUUUCAGUUACGCAGAGGACAUACUGACUAAAGGUUUUGUUUGGACUAAUGACAUCUUCCACACUGCUUUUGGUGGUAUACCAGUGAAGGGAAUCUUGGCUUGCAACCACCUUCUCUUGGUUGGCUCAGAACAAGCAUAAUUUAUCUUGCAGAUUAAUAGAAUAUCAACUCUAAGCUGGCUCCAUCAACUUUAGAAAUAGUACUCUUGACACAGCAUCUUCCCAGAAGAGAUGGUAGAACCCAUUAGAGUGCCCCAUUAAUAUUCUUGUACAUACCCACACGGCAUUGCCAUGGCGUACAGAGGCAGAUGAACUUUAGCCUGAAGUACAGGUUGUGUGUC